UCACCGAUGUUUUAGACAUUACAUUUUAUAAUGGCUUUUCAGAUGAAAAACUCAUUUUGAUCAUUCUAUUAUAUAUGGAUAUCUUAACUUACUAGAACAUCUAGCAAAGUCUUGUACGUUUCAGCGUGUAUGAUAAUGUGUUUUUUUUUAUGUUUAUGGUGCAUGAUAGAAGGGGAAGUAUACUUUUAAAACUCUUGCCAUAAUAUAUUUUGCUACCCUGGUAUAUAAGUAUAGAAAAAAAUAUCUAUGCUAACUAACAUACAACAAAUGUAACCAAUUGUAUACAUGGAAAUAACUCUUAUAUUCACAAAAAUAUUAUUUUGCCUUUGCUCCCCAGUAACUUGAUGUUUAAGUAAAGGCUUAUAACACUCAAAAUUGGGAUUUGAUACUUAUGGUGGGCACAGUUUAGAUAGCCCAUCAUGUAGUUUUGUGCUAAUGGAAAUGAAUGUUUUUGUAUUUGUUAUUUAAAUAAAGAUAGUUUAAUCCAAAUAACAUUAGAUGUUAUAGAGUUAAAAAGUCUUAAAUUCACAGGUUUUGAGGUUUUAAAAAAAGUCUUGAAUUUAACUUCUGUGCAUAUUGAUGCUGUAUCUUUUUCUUAACUUUGGUUUGUUCCACAUUGCACCUAUGCUUAACAGCAUUACAGUACUUUGCUUUGAUGCUGUAUCUUAUUCUUAACUUUGGUUUGUUACACAUUGCACCUAUGCUUAACAACAUUACAGUACUUUGCAUUGAUGCUGUAUCUUAUUCUUAACUUUGGUUUGUUCCACAUUGCACCUAUGCUUAACAGCAUUACAGUACUUUGCAUUCAUUCUAUCUAGGCUUAUACGAAACUGGGAACACUAAAUCAAGUUUGCUAUGUGAUCAUUCUAUAAUUUAGAAUAUAGAUAUUUAUUUUUUACAGAUUUACUAAAAAUAGCAAUAUUAAUUAAAGGGAAGUCAGUGAGGUUAUGCCUAGCAUUUACAUUUUUAUCUGUUAUAGUUUGAUAGAUCAAUUACAAGCAUGUUUUGCUUGAUAUUUGAAUUCCAGAGUGAUAUGGAUGAACUUAAUGAUGAAUUGUACUGAAUGAAGAGGUUUAAUUCGUUUAGUUUAUUACUAUUUUAUUCAACUAGAAUUAAUUAGAAUCUUUGUAUGAUUCAUGUUUUUGCAAAAUUGUCCUUUUCUCUACCCUCAGUUUUUUCACCUUCCCCUUCUAUUUAGCAAGUAUGAAUUGAAGAUUACUUUGUUAAUUAUUGAUGAAUCUGUGGUUAUUUCAGAUGUUCAGUGCCAUAACAAAAAUGGUUUUAAAGACAAAAAAAGAACAGAAAGAACGACAACAACAAACUCGAGAUAGUACUGUUAAGCUUCAACGAGGAUCUCAGCGAGGGAAGAAGAAAUGCUGUUAAUAAUAGUUUAUUAGGGGAUAAAAAGACUGGAAUUGAAAGCAUCAUUGGGUGAUUUCUAAGACCCCUUUCAGCUGCAGGAAUAUAAAAGGGUAUGAGCUGUGUUCAUGUCCAGGAUUUAGAGUUUAAGACUUAACCUGAUAUCACAUAGGACUUGCAGGAAAUCAUGCACUUGUCACCUGGAAAAGCUUUAGCACCAAUGUUCUGGUUUUUAUUCUGAUUGAUGAUUUUUGCUGGCAUAAACAUGAAGACAAAGAAAACUAUGUGCCAUGUUUUGUUGGUGAUUGGCUGUACAAUUGGUUUUUUCAAGACAGCUGAGUAAUGAAUCAAGAUAAUCAUGAUUGGAUCAUCAUGUGUAAGCUACUGACACAAUAGGAUCAAGACUAUCAAGUCAUUUCUUUGUUGUACAUAACUCUAACUGCUUUACUUGAACAACCAGUGUUUGAUACAAUGUUUAUAAAGUAGACAAACAUAAAAGACACUUCAGUGACACAGCCAUUUAGUUAACUGAAGAAUCUUCAGCUAUUGCUGCAGAAUCUGUGAUUCAGUGAUGAUAAAUGUAAGAGGCCAACUGUGAACAAGACAAGCAUGGGAUUAAAAACGAGUCUGAACUCUGAAUUUUAUUCCAAGUCAAGCUGAGUUGUUCAUCUAAUUCAGGAAAUUUUCAUGAAAAGGACAUAUUGUCCAAGUGAUUUAUAAAUAAUGGAUAAAAAUAAAUAUAUAUCACUAGAUCAUUUCCUCUAAACUUUUUUAAAACUAAUUCACUUAUGAUUGUGUAUUUUAUUUCCAUGAUUUCAUUAUACUGUGUACUUUAUUAGAACUUUUUUGUGUGCAUGUUUUUUUACUUAGAUUUGCCAUAUGAUUUUCUGGCUGAUGAUACUUUAACUAAUAAUAACCAUUAAUUAUGUUAAUGAGAAAAGAUUAAUGAUUUUAACAAAUUUUCUUGAUACUUUUGUUCUUUAGCAAAGUGUAUCAAAAAUGAUUCACUGCACGCAAAUGUUGUUUAAGAUUUUUGGAAUACAUCAGUGCAAAGAAAAAAAAAGAAUAAUUUUUUGGGGAUUGGUAUAUUUUUUCUGUUAAUAAAGUUUAAUUGAAAAUAAAAUAUUUAAAUGCUCAUUCCCAUAUGUUCCCACCAUUUCCUUGAUUUUACUUUUUUUCAUGGGCCAAUGAUUUUUUUUGUAUAAAUAUGUAUAUAUAUAAUAUAUUGCUGAUAAAAGUUAGAUUUUUUUUCUGUCUUUUAGUUUAAUUUUACAGAAAAUAUUAUAUGUUUGAUUCUAAGUAACUGUGUUUAGGGGACUCGGUGCUCUAACUAGUGCCUGCUCUUUAGCUGUUUUUGUUUACCAUACAGUAGUAUUUCUAUGAGUAUUAUUUUGAGGCAGAACAUUUAUUAAAGUCAUCUAAUCAUCAUAUUAAGAGAAGAGGUGUUGUUAGGAAAUGUUCCUACAAGUAAGCAUUUUCAGUGGGGUAAAGUAUCAGUAAUUUCUUUUUUUAGUUGAUAACAUGUUAGUGUUCAGUUAAUAUUUUUGGGGAUAUUCAUGCUCUAUAGGAAGAUUAUGUUAUGCAUUAGCUUAUAAAUCCAUAGUUUACAGUUUCUUUUUUAAGUGUUUCCUUUUUUUAUACUACCUCAUACAAAUCCUUGGAAAGUCAUGAUAGUAGUGAUGCUUUUAAACUGAUCAAAGUAUCGUUUCUUUAAUUAGAUCAGUAAGAGUUUCUUGCAAAAGGUUUUCCUAAAAGGAGGAAAAGAAUGCUAUAAGAAAGUAAAGGAUUAGGUGACAAAGUUACUGAACUAUGGGUAAUAAUUAUUUAAAUAAAAAUUAUGGUAUUAUCAGCAGCCAAUAAAAACCUGGUGAUCAGCAUGAGCAAUAUUGUGAAUAGCUGUAUAAAGGGUUAGCAAACUGGGGAAUGUCUGUUAAGUUCAAUAGAGCUAUCAGCACUUUAGUGGACCUUUGCUGUUGUACUGUGUAAUGACAUGAUUUUUGUUUUCAAUAAAGCUUACAAUAAAAGUAUGUGUACAAAAAACACCUGUUGCACUAGCUUAACAUUUAUUGUCAAUAUGAUUUAUUGGUAGUAGUUUAAGACAUGAGCAAAUUCUUAUAUUGAGAUCCUCCUCAUGUCUAUAUACAGUAACACUUUUUAUGCUGAAUAAUGUACAGAAGGGUUUAAAAGCUUGAGUUAAAUUCACCUGUGGCAGGAACUGUGAUGAUGAACUCUAUGUUGGUACAUUUAAAUUUUCCAUUAUGUUGAACCUUACAUUUUGGCAGUUGGCUGUUAGUAAAGUAACAUUGUUUGGGAUUUGCCAAGUAAAUGAUUUUAAAGUUUUUGGUACAUCGCACCAAUAAAAGUUUAUUACUUUUUUUACUAAAUAUAUUAACAUUAUGUAACAGUAUUAUCUAAAAUUCAUAUUAAUUCUAACAGCUAACAUAAAACUUCUAAUUUAGACAAAUGAAAUUGUGUAAAUAAUUAAAGCUGCUUAAUUCUGAAGAUACGAGACAAUAUGUGGUCUUAUAAAGUACCAAUAAAUUAGAAACAUAUGUGUAUUUCAAGUUUCAAAUAUAACAUCUUACUGUUUGAUUGGAGCAUGUUGUUGAAAUCUAGGCAAAGGUUUUAUUAUGAAUUAGCAGUUUGUCCUUCACAGGUUUGGUACAUUUUAAUAGGAAAGUGUUGUUUUUUUUUAAUAUAAAUAACACUUGUUUAGGAUCACCAGUGAUAUGUUUCAUCAUGUUGUAGUUGAAACUAUUUCUUACAGAAAUAAGUAUUAUAUCUUGAUCUCUGCCAUACUAAACUUCCCAUGUAUAUGUUAAUAACUGAUUUAUAGUUUUCAUUUGUAGUUCACAGUCUGUCCUUAUUCACUGGGGUGAAAGAAGGUAAUGUUCUUGAGUUUAACGAAAUAUGGUUAAAGUUCUAAGUUUCUGCUUAACUUUCCAGUAAAUUAAAAUAUUACAUGCUUUUUUAUUGUGCUUGAUUAACAUUAUUUGUCUCCAAAAUUUGUUUGUUACAAUUGUUCCCCAGUCAGGCAUAUGAAAACGAAAUGCUUGUUUUCCAGUACCAAAAAGAACAGUUUGAAAAUAACGUUGAUCAUGAGUUUAGUAAAUUGGUAAAUAUCCAUUUUUUGUUUUAACUUUGACUCUUUGGUGAGUAGUACCGUUAUGUUCAAUUUGAUUGUAAACUUGUAAUCACACAAUUAAUUUUAAGUUUUACAUUUAACAUCCUUAAACAUAGCAAAUGUAGAAGGUCCUUCGUAUCUAAUUGUUGAUUAUAUUGUAAUGUUGGGAAGAAUGAUUUUUUGCUUGCAUAUAAAUAAAUUUAUUUCUUUGCACAAUG